UAUUACCGUCACUACAUACUCGUGCGCGGAGUGAUGGCGGGUGACUGCGUGCUUCGAUAGCGCUAAGCCUCGGGGCAGUAAAAUACAUUGGUCCGGUGGCUGUGAUCCGGCCGUAUCAAUGCUGCCGCUUGCCCGUUAUGCACGCGGACUCGCCACCGUCACACUCCCUCCCCUCGCCCCCCACCACUUAUGCGAGGAUCCACCACGAGAGGGACCCAUCACGACCCAUCACGGCGCGCUGCGAAACCUUUCCGUUGACAACCGCUCUUAAUCUUGGUCGACCGCCUAACUCGUCACCCACUCAGUUUUUCUCCUUGCAAGCGUCGUUGCUGCUGCCCUCUGCCCCCUUUCGCUUCAACACUCGUGCAUAGAAGGUGUAUAAAAGGUGUAGACUCGCUGUUGAAAAAGUGACCGGUUAAAAAUUUCCAAUAAAGUUUACCAUUCGUAUACGGUUGCUACGAUUGUUACCACGCUUCGAAAUAAUAUAUUAUUAUACGAAAACAGGACUGCUCUAAAGAAGGUUUAACACAUUUCGUACGAUUGGUUACGAACGUGAACAAGUGGCAAGCAUGUCGUCCAGCCAACCUGUCCACGGAUGAUGAAACGAUAAACGGCGAACGACGGAUGACAAACGAGAAAGAACGAAGGACGAAGGACGGUGAUGGGUUACGAACGAAUCGCAGCGUGCCCGAUUGUCUCACCGCGGUAACGGUGACUACAGAUUAAACUGUGGAUUUUGCGAACCGCAAUGCUUGUUGCGAAAUUAAUCCACGCAGUUCGUUAUUACGACAGUUACAUCGGUGGUACGUGUAAUCUGACCGUGCUUUUGUUGCUGAGCACAUCGAAACCACCGAACAAUUCUUCUUUGUUAAUGGCGUCUGUUUACGAUAUAAAACUGUUUGUCCGCGAUAAUGGCCGUCGCAAUGCGCACCAAUAAUUAUUUCGAAUUACGAAAUCGCGAAAUGGGCUUUUACACGGAGUUACGAACUGCAAUCAUUCUCGCGCGUAUAAACGUCGAUCGAACCGCAUUGCGAUUGUUUCGCGAGAGAGCGAAUGCGAUUCGUCGCGUUCUAGCCAACCGCUAUCGGGGGGAGGGGGGGAAAAAAAAGAAAAAAAUCAUAUCACAGCGAUAUAUCUUACCGCACGAUUCUUUAUACAUCCUUCCAGAUCGAAAAGGAUAGGUUAUACAGACUUGAACGGAUAACUUUCUUAUCCGUCGUAUUGAUUCAAUUUUCUUUUUCAUAUAUAUUUAAAUUAUGCCAAGUGUACACCGUCAUUUAUAUAGGUUAGGUUGAGUUAACAUAUCAAUUACUUUUUCUUACACACACACACACACGUUUAAAAUUAUGUGUAUAUCCAAUAUGUGUUAUACGGCACGCUGUCAUUCGUAGAUAUAGGUUAAGUUAAGUUAAGUUAGGUUAGGUUAUAUACACGUGUUAAUUACACGUAUGCUAUCAUCAUUUAUAUGAGUUAGGUUAGGUUAGUCUAUCAAUAUUUCUUAUAUACACGUUUGAAUUACGCAUAUUUCUAAAUACACGAUCAUUUGUAGAUAUAGGUUAAAUUAAUUAUCGUACGAUGAUCGCCUGUCGUACGAAUUCGAUCGCUUUUUCUUGUAUCCAAAUAUGCAUCCGAAUUACAUUAUCAGUUGUCAACGUUGUGUCAACGAUGGUCGUUCAUCAGCAUAUAUACAAUGUUAAAUAUAUAAUGUGAAAUUUCUAUAUUCAAUACGUGUGUGUAUGUGUAUGUUUUUUUUUUUAAACGAACGCGUGAGAAAUCACCGCGCUUAACCCCGAUCCGAUCUCCGAAAUGUUGGAUUCUUACCGACAAUAUCAAAAUUUUACGCGGUAUACAGCACCGAUUAGUCGUGCCGCUACUCGAUAAAAUAAUUUAUCGAAUAUAUUUCAAUUUCACGCGUAUUAUGCCGCCCCGAAAGAGUAAUUCAAUGGAAAAUAUAAAUAUUCAUUUGCGGGGA